CCAACCAAACAACCCCUCCUCCCUUCUUCUUCCUUUUGGUCGAUCACCACACAACACAUACACAAUUUCAAAUUUCUCUCAAAUAUCUCUAUUUCAUCUCCAUCAAAAAUCUGAUUUAUAUUGAAAUCAAAAGGGGAAUUUAAGGGAAGGAAUUAUUUAGUGAAUAAUCAAGGAAUCAUCAUCAACAUCAUUAUCAUCUUCAUCUUUUUCAUUUAUUUCUCAAGAACUUCAAGUUUUGGUUUUGGAUAGACGUGGAGACUAGACUGCUCAUUUCCUCGGACUACUCAUACUUUUAGCUCUUUGACCGCUAAGGUAACCAACAAUAAGUCUUGGAUCAUCUUGGCAUUUUUGGGCCAUUCUUUUGACUUUGGACGUACAAUUAGCAUCAGACAUAUGAGAACUAUCAUCUUAUUAGUUCUAAUCGUACUAGACUGUCCAAAUAUUUAUCUUGUAUUCAGUGGGCCAAAUUCCAUAUAUGGAUGACUUGUAUCUGUAUUCUGGGGUUCACAUUUGAACGAUUGUACUUGUAUUAGACUUGUAUUUGGUAUUAAAUGGAUGUAAUUUUUAUUA